rnacentral:misc_RNA from 1 species
GAUGAAGAACGUAGUGAAAUGCGAUAAGUAAUGUGAAUUGCAGAAUUCCGUGAAUCAUCGAAUCUUUGAACGCACAUUGCACCCCCUGGUAUUCCGGGGGGCAUGCCUGUCCGAGCGUCAUUGCAACCUUCAAGCGCGGCUUGUGUGUUGGGUCUCGUCCCCCGUGGACGGGCCCGAAAGGCAGUGGCGGCGUCCCGACAUGGUGCCCGAGCGUAUGGGAAUCCUCUUCCGCUCGAAUCGGCCCAUGCGGCGCUGGUCGUAACCAAAUUUUUUACCGGUUGACCUCGGAUCAGGUAGGGAUACCCGCUGAACUUAAGCAUAUCAAUAAGCGGAGGA